GGAAUGGAAGUCCUGAAAAGGAUUUUAACCUUGUAAGUUAAAGGAGGUCAUAUUGCAAGACCCUGUUCCU
rnacentral:tRNA from 1 species